rnacentral:rRNA from 1 species
GAUGAACGCUGGCGGCGUGCCUAAUACAUGCAAGUCGAACGAAACUUCUUUAUCACCGAGUGCUUGCACUCACCGAUAAAGAGUUGAGUGGCGAACGGGUGAGUAACACGUGGGCAACCUGCCCAAAAGAGGGGGAUAACACUUGGAAACAGGUGCUAAUACCGCAUAACCAUAGUUACCGCAUGGUAACUAUGUAAAAGGUGGCUAUACUACCGCUUUUGGAUGGGCCCGCGGCGCAUUAGCUAGUUGGUAGGAUAAAGGCUUACCAAGGCAAUGAUGCGUAGCCGAAUUGAGAGGUUGAUCGGCCACAUUGGGACUGAGACACGGCCCAAACUCCUACGGGAGGCAGCAGUAGGGAAUCUUCCACAAUGGGCGAAAGCCUGAUGGAGCAACGCCGCGUGGGUGAAGAAGGUCUUCGGAUCGUAAAACCCUGUUGUUAGAGAAGAAAGUGCGUGAGAGUAACUGUUCACGUUUCGACGGUAUCUAACCAGAAAGCCACGGCUAACUACGUG